GAUGAACGCUGGCGGCGUGCCUAAUACAUGCAAGUCGAGCGAACAGACGAGGAGCUUGCUCCUCUGACGUUAGCGGCGGACGGGUGAGUAACACGUGGAUAACCUACCUAUAAGACUGGGAUAACUUCGGGAACCGGAGGUAAUACCGGAUAAUAUAUUGAACCGCAUGGUUCCAUAGUGAAAGACGGUUUUGCUGUCACUUAUAGAUGGAUCCGCGCCGCAUUAGCUAGUUGGUAAGGUAACGGCUUACCAAGGCAACGAUGCGUAGCCGACCUGAGAGGGUGAUCGGCCACACUGGAACUGAGACACGGUCCAGACUCCUACGGGAGGCAGCAGUAGGGAAUCUUCCGCAAAGGGCGAAAGCCUGACGGAGCAACGCCGCGUGAGUGAUGAAGGUCUUCGGAUCGUAAAACUCUGUUAUUAGGGAAGAACAAAUGUGUAAGUAACUAUGCACGCCUUGACGGUACCUAAUCAGAAAGCCACGGCUAACUACGUG
rnacentral:rRNA from 1 species